GCAGGUGGAAGGCCUGAUUAUGGCUAAAUUGUGUUCACCUGUGAUUAGCUGACCAUAACGGCAACUCCAAGACCUCAGUUUUCAUGCUUGUUUUUGUACAACAAAAAUCUACGCAGAUACAUGGUAUGACCCAUGAACGGAAAUCUGGAAGGAAAAGCGUGGCAAGUGGAUUUCAAUAAACAUCGUCCACCAUAAACUUACGAACUGGAAAAAUUGUUGCAAGAAACUCAUUGACGGGGCUACACGCAGUUUGCAAUAGGAAUCUACAUGACACAACUCCACGGUUCUGCCACUGAUGAACAGCUUUUACGGAUGAUGGGCAGCGGAUGGGCUUCGGUGUUAAAGACCCAGUCUUCCAGGGAGAGGAGGUCAUCGUCAGAGAAAAGCAGGAAGAAGCUCUGCUGCAUGUUGUCGUGGCUGGCUGUCAGGGCGUAAACAUCACGGAUCCCAGAGAAACCUGAUUCCACUCUGCAGUGCUGCUCCAGAGCCUAACAGAAGGCAGGAAGGAACAGGCACAACGGAUUUCUCCCAUCUUUCCUAAAAACAUGCAUCAACAACAUUGAGGUAUUGUGCCAGAUAUUACUUCAUGUCCUCAGGCCUGCAUUUCAAGACACACGUCUUGAAGGUGAGUGCACCAGAUGGCAAAAUCCCAUUAACUGUCUUUCCCGAUGCGGAAGAUUGGCAACUCUAAUCUAAGGCAUCCUGUGCUCUUUACCUUAUCCCUAAUUAACAAUCCAGCCACAUUUCAGAAGGUGCUAAUUUUAGCUGUACUUGUUUAGGAUCUCAGUCCAUUUUACUAUCUAUAUUUUAUGACUAUAGAUAAUCUGAUACGCUGCUCUGCUGAGGUGUUAAGGAACCCCAGUUUGCUUUAAUUUUUUUGAGCACAUUUGAAUUGCUGGGUCUAGUGUCUUCCUCUUUUUUUUUUUUCCC